rnacentral:rRNA from 1 species
GACGAACGCUGGCGGCGUGCUUAACACAUGCAAGUCGAACGGAAAGGCCCUGCUUUUGUGGGGUGCUCGAGUGGCGAACGGGUGAGUAACACGUGAGUAACCUGCCCUUGACUUUGGGAUAACUUCAGGAAACUGGGGCUAAUACCGGAUAGGAGCUCCUGGUGCAUGGUGGGGGUUGGAAGGUUUCGGCGGUUGGGGAUGGACUCGCGGCUUAUCAGCUUGUUGGUGGGGUAGUGUCUUACCAAGGCUUUGACGGGUAGCCGGCCUGAGAGGGUGACCGGCCACAUUGGGACUGAGAUACGGCCCAGACUCCUACGGGAGGCAGCAGUGGGGAAUAUUGCACAAUGGGCGGAAGCCUGAUGCAGCAACGCCGCGUGCGGGAUGACGGCCUUCGGGUUGUAAACCGCUUUCGCCUGUGACGAAGCGUGAGUGACGGUAAUGGGUAAAGAAGCACCGGCUAACUACGUG